GACGAACGCUGGCGGCGUGCUUAACACAUGCAAGUCGAACGAGAUCCCAUGUGUAGCAUUACGCGGGAAGAUGUAGUGGCGAACGGGUGAAGAACAGGAGCGAAACGUACACCAGAGUUUGGGAUAACAGACCUAAAGGUCUGCUAAUACCGAAUAACGUCGGAAGUCCGCAGGGACAUAUGAUGAAAGGGAUUUCGGUUUGGGAGGGUCCCGCGGACCUCUCAGCUGGUGGGAAGGGUAACGGCGCACCAGGGCAACGACGGGUAGCUGGUCUGAGAGGGUGGUCAGCCACACUUGGACUGAGACACAGCCCAGACUCCUACGCAAGGGAGCAGUGGGGAAUCUUGCGCGAUGGGCGAAGGCCUGACGCAGCAACGCCGCGUGCGGGAAGAAGGCUGUCGUGCUGUGAACCGCUUUCAGUAGGAACGAAACUGACGGUACCUACAGAAGAAGGAGCGGCUAACUACGUG
rnacentral:rRNA from 1 species